rnacentral:rRNA from 1 species
AGAGCGAACGCUGGCGGCAGGCUUAACACAUGCAAGUCGAGCGGGCGUAGCAAUACGUCAGCGGCAGACGGGUGAGUAACGCGUGGGAACGUACCUUUUGGUUCGGAACAACCCAGGGAAACUUGGGCUAAUACCGGAUAAGCCCUUACGGGGAAAGAUUUAUUGCCGAAGGAACGGCCCGCGUCCGAUUAGCUAGUUGGUGAGGUAACGGCUCACCAAGGCGACGAUCGGUAGCUGGUCUGAGAGGAUGACCAGCCUCACUGGGACUGAGACACGGCCCAGACUCCUACGGGAGGCAGCAGUGGGGAAUAUUGGACAAUGGGCGCAAGCCUGAUCCAGCCAUGCCGCGUGGAUGAUGAAGGCCUUAGGGUUGUAAAGUCCUUUUAACGGGGAAGAUAAUGACGGUACCCGUAGAAUAAGCCCCGGCUAACUUCGCGCCAGCAGCCGC